GGUGUGGCGCAGUUUGGUCAGCGCGCUUGAUUUGGGAUCAAGAGGUCGCAGGUUCGAAUCCUGUCACC
rnacentral:tRNA from 1 species